rnacentral:rRNA from 1 species
CCCUUAGAUGUUCUGGGCCGCACGCGCGCUACACUGAGCCCUUCAUCGAGUUUACAACCUUGGCCGGUAGGUCUGGGUAAUCUUCUCAAAGGGGCUCGUGCUGGGGAUAGAUUAUUGUAAUUUUUAAUCUUCAACGAGGAAUUCCUAGUAAACGCAAGUCAACAGCUUGCAUUGAUUACGUCCCUGCCCUUUGCACACACCGCCCGUCGCUACUACCGAUUGAAUGGCUUAGUGAGCCCGAGGGACUGUUGCACCUAGAGGGUUUUCUCUCCAGGAGCAGCCGGGAACUCGGUCAAACUUGAUCAUUUAGAGGAAGUAAAAGUCGUAACA